AUCCUUUAUUGGUUACAUAACGUGUGUCCCCUCUGCGGACAGUAGCUAAAGGAGGCGUGAACACAAUAACAACACUGUGUCUAUCUUUAUUGAUAAUACAUAACCACCCUUGGCAGAGCCAUAAAGCGGAGAAAAACGAAGAGAACCGAACGACGCCGAAACAAAUAUAUCUGACUGCGGCUGCGUCGCUUUCAUUUUGUCUACACAACAGCAAAGAUUAUUCAGCGACUCUUCUUCCUUGUGUUUUAAAAUCGAUUGAUAUCAGCACAAAUGAUCGAGACGCAUAAAGGGAAGAGCUGCGUGGUUUAUUUGAUCAAUUUCGUCUCCAGGAUUUCAGAGCCACAUCACCAAACAUCCCGGAAACAGAAACUCAGCGCUGUGAUUGGACCACGCAUGGGAGUGUGUGAAAACAACAAGUGACUCUGUGAGGCGCAAAUACUGUACACCAAGGGACCGUCAACAAAUAUAAAACGUAAAAUCAAAAUGUAAGGACUAAGUAGGCAUGGUUGCUUGCAAAAGAUAAUAGGAAGCAAUUACAAAUCAUAUUCUUGGUUUGGAGUUACUUAAUGGUUCAAAACAGAAUGGGAGGACAUGAUUUAAAGCUUAACAUGCUUAUUAAUUACGGAAAACAGUUGGGACGCAGUCUCAUUCUGUUGGCACACUACACCACAGUGUUUGUAAUCUUUGUAUCUCGCUCUGUGAACUGUUUUGUGGAAGUGAUCAAGUGGAUGUCGAUGUUUGCCAGAUACACAGUAGAGGUAUUUGAAUCCAUUCAUAGGAGCCUAAACUGGUGGACCAGAAGAUGCAGUAGGACGUCCAUAGAAAUGCUCUCCAGCAGCGACACAGAAUCGGAAUGAGAAAGGACAAUAUGAACUCAAAGAAUGAUGUUUCUGGCAAAAAAAUGAAGAACCCAUGGAUCUUAAAUGGAGUUAUAGACUCCAAGGAGAACAAUACCAUUGCAUCCGUACAUACUGUACAUCUCAAUUUUCUGUUCACUUCAAAGGGCUCACUGAAAGCAAUGAGGUUAAGGGAGAGUCCACCACUGUGUUAUAACCAUGCCUGAUAGACUGAAGACUGAACUCGACACCUGUUUUUCAAGUCUAAACCAGUAUUUACUGGAAUGAAAAACAAUGCAAAAAAGUUAAGAUAAGUAAAUCUUACUUUAUUUUGCCUCACAGUUAAUCCUAAACAGUGUUGUUUUGCCCAAACAAGUUCUUUUUAAAUCAUCCACUGAAUGCAGUUUAGCAGUGAGGGAGAUGAGCCUAAAAUUACUAUUAGCACUUAUGUGUCUGAUUGGACAUUAUAUGGUUGGAGCAGUUGUAUGUUGCUUUAAAUAAUAAUAGUAAAAUGUAUCCUGAAACAAGUGGGACUUGUAUCAUCAGUAGCAGAGAAAACUCAGAUACUCUCGCACAGGGGUCCUCAAGAUCAACUUUCCUGCAGAGAUUAGCUCCAACCUGGA